CACCAGCACAAAAUGGCCUCCACAAACGACCCAAACUCUGACAGGUGGAGCUUAUGUAGCCAGUGGACUCUUGUGCUGUCUGCGUUGUGUUGAUAUGAAGAGGCCUAGACCGUGGAUACCUUUGGAGGUGAUCUGUUUAUUCCGGACAGCUGACAACAAGAGCUCUCAGACUGGCAACCUGUCUUGUGGUUCUCUGUGUCAUGCCCAGUGCGUGCUGGGAUAGGCUCCAGUCCUCAAAGCGUGAUGAAAGGUUAAAGAAUAAAAUAAUGGAUGGUUGAAG